rnacentral:rRNA from 1 species
UGGGGAAUAUUGCACAAUGGGCGCAAGCCUGAUGCAGCCAUGCCGCGUGUGUGAAGAAAGGCCUUCGGGUUAUAAAGCACUUUCAGCGAGGAGGAAGGUGGUGAACUUAAUACGUUCAUCAAUUGACGUUACUCGCAGAAGAAGCACCGGCUAACUCCGUGCCAGCAGCCGCGGUAAUACGGAGGGUGCAAGCGUUAAUCGGAAUUACUGGGCGUAAAGCGCACGCAGGCGGUUUGUUAAGUCAGAUGUGAAAAUCCCCGGGCUCAACCUGGGAACUGCAUUUGAAACUGGCAAGCUAGAGUCUCGUAGAGGGGGGUAGAAUUCCAGGUGUAGCGGUGAAAUGCGUAGAGAUCUGGAGGAAUACCGGUGGCGAAGGCGUCCCCCUGGACGAAGACUGACGCUCAGGUGCGAAAAGGCGUGGGGAGCAAAACAGGAUUAGAUACCCUGGUAGUCCACGCUGUAAAACGAUGUCGAUUUUGGAGGUUGUGCCCUUGAGGCGUGGCUUCCGGAGCUAACGCGUUAAAUCGACCGCCUGGGGAGUACGGCCGCAAGGUU